UGUGGCCAUAUCACGUUGAAACUUCAGUUCUUUUUGGAUCACUGAAGUUAAGCAAUGUUGAGCCUGGUCAGUACCUAGAUGGGUUACUGCUUGGGAAUACUGGGUAAUGUAA